UUACUACUCCCUCCGUCCCAAAAUAAGUGUCUCAAGCUUAGUACAAAUUUGUAUUAGAGCUAGUACUAAGCUUGAGACACUUAUUUUGGGACGGAGGGAGUAUGUU
rnacentral:pre_miRNA from 1 species